AAUCACUCACCGGGCGGUGUGGGCGUGGCCAACCCGCCGGUUACACAUAGGUACCGUGGUAACUUCGGUAGUUGUCACUGUAUUAGUAAAGAGCUCUUUUAAUAAGAGUUUUCUGUUGUUGAGACCGGACUUCACUACACUUCUGUGUGGUGUUAACCUCCUCAGUCUGCGCCGUGGCGCGGCCGUGUGGCGCAUCAGCUCCCGCUGCAGCUGCACUGAUGCUCCCUUCUACACUGAAACAGCACUAGGAUGGUUUAGACACAGCGAAAGUGCAGGAAAAACGCCAACCCAGGAAACCAGUCGUCAGUAUUUUCUCGAUCACCGAAUAACCCGCAUGCCAAAGGAUGUAUUAAGUUCUCUGUUAGGAUGUCGUCAUCUGAAAACGCUGCGUCAGAUGCAGUCUGUGAAACACCACCUAGGUCUGAGGCUGAGCCCCUGAGGAUUGUCCUGCUGGGGAGGACAGGAACAGGCAGAAGCUCCUCAGGCAACACCAUCCUGGGCAGGUCCGCCUUCCGGGUUGAUGUUUCCCCUGUAUCUGUGACCACCCGGUGCGAGAGACACAUUGGGACAGUAGACGGGCGCAGCAUCUCUGUGGUCGACACCCCCGGGUUCUUCCACACACACCUGCCCCCUCGGGAGGUCAUGGCUGAGGUGGGACGCUGUGUUGUCCUGACCUCUCCGGGACCCCAUGGCUUCUUGGUGACCCUGCAGCCUGGCAGGUUCACACAGGAGGAGCGGGAUGCCUUGGGAUGGAUCAAGGCUACGUUUGGGCCUGGAGCCACCAGGUUCACCAUGGUUCUGUUCACCUGGGGAGACCAGCUGCAGGGCAAACGCAUGGAGGACUUCCUGGAGGAGAGCAAUGAGCUGUCCGAAUUUGUCAGCAGCUGCCACGGGGGGUAUCACAUCCUUGACAACAGUGAACAGGACAGGACGGCAGAGUGCACACAACAGGUGGUGCAGCUUCUGAGGAAGGUGGACAAGAUGGUGGUGGGCAACGGAGGCAGCUGCUACAGCAACGAGAUGUUUAAGGAGGCUGAGAGGGUCAUCAGGGAGGCACAGGAGAGGAUUCUUAGAGAACCAGGACACAAGGUGGAGUUCCUUCAGAGGGAGAGUGAAGACAAAGAAGAGCAGGGAGCCGAGUUCGAGAGGAGGAGGAAGAGGAGGGAGGAGGAGGAGGCCAGGAAGAGGGCAGAGAAGCUCUUCUGGUGUGAGCUGGUGAAUGCAGUUGGGAAAGGUGCAGCAGAGGGGGCAGGGAUCGUGGGGAAGGACAAAGGCAAGGGGAAAGCUGUGAAGAAGGCAAAGGUGGUGGCUCUGGCAGCGACACCACUUUCCAUCAGUUCAGCUGCAAAGGCGGUGGGAGGGGCUAUGAGAGAGGGAGGUAAGGUUCUGUACAAGCACCGCAAAACCUUCCUGCACUGACGGAGACUGGACCGUGUUCGGCCAGGUGUCUCCAGGUGUCGGCCGGACACAGAGGAGUGAAAGACUGUCACUGUCUCCGACAUCAGCACAUUGUUAAACAGGAAUGUGUGUGUUGAUGAGGAAGAACAAAACCACACCUUGUUGUUGAAAGUAUUCAUGUAUUAUAAUAAAAGUAACGUCAUAAAAAUGA